GGAUGCGAUCAUACCAGCACUAAAGCACCGGAUCCCAUCAGAACUCCGAAGUUAAGCGUGGCGAGAGUAGUACUAGGGCGGGUGACCUCCUGGGAAGUCCUCGUGUUGCAUUCC
rnacentral:rRNA from 1 species